rnacentral:rRNA from 1 species
AUGUUCAAGCUGGAGGAUGUGGGAAUAUGGAUCAAUGAGAAGAAGAAGGAAGGCUUUGAUGUCACGUAUGAGAACGAUAGAAGGAUCUUGGUGGAAGGCUGUGAGGACGGACGGCUGACGCCUGGCAAUCACCCCAAAAAUAUUUUUGUAUGCGAGGAGGAUCACCUGCCGCCGGCUGACAUCCGCCACAUCAGUAAACGACCAGGUUAG